UAUGAGGCUAUUGUAUUUCCCUCGUGUUUUCAUACUCAACAGUGAAUUCAGUAUUUAGUUAACACAGCUUUGUUCAUUAUCAUUAAAACGUGCGUUACUGACAACAAUCUAAGUUAAUUAAUAUAAUAUUUGCUUAUUUAAAUACAGCUUGUGAAUUACUUCUGAUUGUGUGUUUUUCUAUCUCUUCUACGAUCUACUUUUGAGCACAUUAAAUUUGCCUUAUAAGUGCUGUGUUCCUAUGUACUCCUCCGGAUAUGAUGGAAAACCAGCCAUAGCAAGGUUGUCGCUCCAUUCUUUUCCACUGGAUGAAUCUUCAAAAGGUGCCUGGCUUAGAGCCAUUCCACGGGAGAGUAAUAGGACUUCAAGAGAAUAACUUUGUAUAUGAGAGUGCAGACCACAAGAGGAAUUAUCGAUCUUGUGGAGUUGAAGAUAAUAAGCUCCAAAAACGUUAUUUGAAACCCUCUGCAGUGCGUAGUAUUUUCCCCAAUCUUCCCAAAUACUUGUCAUCCGUCAAAAGUCAAGGGCCCCCAUCGAGAGCUACUACUUUACCUAAACACAAUUUAGUUGGUACCGUCAAUUGUCUGGUGCAAACUAUUUUGUAUCUGUGCGCCAAGUACUCGAGGAAGAAAAAAAAGGAUAUAUUCCCUUAUAAAAUUGGAUGGCCUUGAUUUGAAUGACAUAAAAAAUAUUCAUUCUGACUCUGAUAAAAAACAAGAUUCAAACCAAGAAAAAAAACAUUUGUAUUGAUGAAAUUUUGUCGACUUCACAGUCUACCGAGUUUAGUUUUGAAUUAGAAGAUGACAAAAAAACUAUUUUAUUCUUUGUUUUAGGCUAUAUAGCCAAAUUUUAAUCCUUUAAGUUAAAAUACAAUUAAUGUAAAGCCAAACUUGUGUUCUAAAAAAGUUUUCCUCAAGUUAGUUUGGACAAAUCAAUUGAGGAAUGUUCGAAAAGCAAGUUCCUAGAUCAAAUUAAUAGAGGAGGAAUGGUCACUCCAAGUGAUGACUUAUUUUCGAUUGUCACACAAAUUUAUUGUUUAUAUAACUUUAUUAUUUCAAGUGAAAACGCAAAAUCUAUUUUUUUUUAAUACAAUAAUUUUAGAAAAGUAUUUACAAAAAUAUGUUGUGAUAUGAUAGAUUACGAACUAGUUAUAAUUAAUCAAAAUUGAUCUUAUGGCCAUAUUUUGAAAGAUUUUAGCAUUUGUUGCCAAGUUUUCAAUAUUAUUACCAAGCAUUUAUCUAAAAAAAUAAAUAAUAAACUAAUUUGAAAAGGUUGUACGGCAAUGCAAAAUCUUGUAAACCGAAUAAAAUAAUUGUUAAACUUAGUUCUCAAUAAUAUAUAUGUAUGUUGUGUUUUGUUGUCAUUUAAAAUAAUAAAUAAUAGUUGUUAAAAUUUUA
rnacentral:lncRNA from 1 species